AUGCGGGACCGGGGAAGUGGGGCCUGGCCGUGCGCUUCGCCGGCGCUGCCCCGGAGCCGUCCCCGCUGCGGAGAGUUGCGGGAGAUGGCAUCGCUCUGCUCUCUGCCGUUUCGGCGCCUGAAGGAGGGAAGCAUUUGGAACCCAGGACUCAGACCGAUGACCCAGGGCCUUUGCAGCCGCGGGCACGGCAGCCUAGCGCCGGCUGCUUCCGAGCGCGUUCCUCCAGCAAGGGCACGGCUGUCGACCUGCGCGCCCCGGGUCGCGAUCGGGUUCAAGGCGACUCCUGAGAACGGGCAGGCCUUCCACCGACGAGGGGACACACGGACGAGGUCGCUCUGGAACCCGAAGCCGCACCAGCUUUCAAGAACUCCACGGCCGUCGUUAAGAUUCUGGAACUUGGAAUUUGUGAAAUACAGCCGCUCAUCUCAGAACGUGGCUCCUCCCAGGGCACCCCCAAGAAAGUGGGCACCCAUCAUGGCCUUUGGAAGAUGCUCCGGGACUGCACCAGGUCUCACCCCUUCUUUCCAGCUGCUUCAUUCCCUGCGUGACACCGGAAGCUCGGACAACAGUGCCAGCUCAGGUCAAAAAGUGGUGGCGAGACAGGAGCUGCUGACCUCGGCCGAGCUUCCUCACCGUUCCCUCUGGCCUUCGCCGUCGACUGGGCAUGGCCUGAAGCAGCCACGGUCCACUGCCGGGUGUCUGCAUGGAAGAGGAGCGCUCAGCCUCAUCUCUCUGCAAUGCCGUGAACCAGCCCUCGAGGGUGUGAUUAAUACACACAGGCCGCCUGCCAUCCACCUGAGAUGCCACACAGGUGAAUCUAACCUGGAACAAGAAGAAAGGCCACAUGAGGGAAACUGA
rnacentral:lncRNA from 1 species